rnacentral:rRNA from 1 species
CCGCCAGAGAACUACGAGUGAAAAACUUAAAACUCAAAGGACUUGGCGGUAUCCCACAUCGGCCUAGAGGAGCCUGUCCUAUAAUCGAUACCCCCCGUUCCACCCAACCUUAGUUAGCCCCAUCAGCCUAUAUACCGCCGUCGACAGUCUACCCCAUGAGGGUCCAACAGUAGACAUAAAAGCAACCCCGCUAGUACGUCAGGUCAAGGUGUAGCAAAUACUGAGGCAGAGAUUGGCUACAUUUUUUAAAAUAAAAAAAAACGAAAUGCGCCAUGAAACACCGCAUGAAGGUGAAUUUAGCAGUAAAAC